AUGGAGAUGGGCGGCGACGAGAUGAUGAUGACCUCGGGCGCCACGGGCCGGAUCGUGCCCGUCUUCCGCUCCGUGCUCUCCCGCCGCGCGCUGCUCCGCCUGGCCGUCGCGCUCCACUCGCUCUUCCUCUGGCUGCUCCUCCUCGUCGGCCGCCGCCGCCGCCCCGACGCCGCGAGCCCGGCGGAGCCCGGCCGCCUGGGGAAGGCCAGGAGCAGGCGCAGGGCCGCGGAGGAGGAGGACGUGCGCCGCCGCCGGGCGCUCGCGGAGGAGGUGCCCAUGGUGGAGGACGACGCGGACGCGGACGGCAGGACGUGCGGCACCUUCGUCAUCGCCGGGGCCAGGCGGAACGCGCUCUUCUGCCGCGUCUGGGCGCCGGCGGCCGGCGCGGAGACGAGGGGCAUUCUGCUCAUCGUACAUGGGCUCAAUGAGCAUAGUGGGAGGUAUUUGCAUUUUGCCGAGCAGCUAACAUCAUGUGGCUUUGGAGUAUAUGCAAUGGAUUGGAUAGGUCAUGGUGGCAGUGAUGGUCUGCACGGUUAUGUUCCUUCUCUCGAUUAUGUCAUAGAAGACAUGGAAGUACUUCUUGAUAAAAUUAUGCUGGAGAAUCCAGAUGUUCCUUGUUUUCUACUCGGUCACUCCACUGGUGGAGCUGUUGUUUUGAAGGCGUCGCUGUACGCCCAUAUCAGAACCAGACUGGAAGGAAUCAUCCUGACUUCACCAGCUGUGCGUGUAAAACCAGCGCAUCCGAUAGUUGGGGCCGUGGCACCGAUAUUCUCUCUGAUAGCACCCAAGUUCCAAUUCAAGGGAGCCAACAAGCGCGGCAUCCCGGUGUCGCGCGACCCCGCCGCACUGCUAGCGAAGUACUCUGACCCGCUGGUCUACACGGGGCCGAUCAGGGUCCGUACGGGCCACGAGAUCCUGCGCAUCUCCUCCUACCUGCUGCACAACCUGAAGAAGGUGACGGUCCCGUUCGUGGUCCUGCACGGCACGGCGGACCGUGUGACGGACCCGCUGGCCUCGCGGGAGCUCUACACGGAGGCCGCGUCGAGGCACAAGGACCUGCGUCUGUACGAGGGGUUCCUCCACGACCUGCUCUUCGAGCCCGAGCGCGACGAGAUCGCCGCCGACAUCAUCGGGUGGAUGGACCGGACGCUCGGCCUGCAGGCCGUAUGA
rnacentral:rRNA from 1 species